UACAGAGGUGGCAAGCGUUGUUCGGAAUUACUGGGCGUAAAGGGCGCGUAGGCGGUUCUGUAAGUCCCGCGUGAAAUCCCCCGGCUCAACUGGGGAACUGCGCGGGAAACUGCGGGGCUCGAGUUCGGGAGAGGGAAGCGGAAUUCCGGGUGUAGCGGUGAAAUGCGUAGAUAUCCGGAGGAACACCGGUGGCGAAGGCGGCUUCCUGGACCGACACUGACGCUGAGGCGCGAAAGCUAGGGGAGCAAACGGG
rnacentral:rRNA from 1 species